UACGUAGGGUGCGAGCGUUGUCCGGAAUUAUUGGGCGUAAAGAGCUCGUAGGCGGCCUGUCGCGUCGGAUGUGAAAACUCGGGGCUUAACCCCGAGCCUGCAUUCGAUACGGGCAGGCUAGAGUUCGGCAGGGGAGACUGGAAUUCCUGGUGUAGCGGUGAAAUGCGUUGAUAUCAUCAGGAACACCGGUGGCGAAAGCGGCUUACUGGGUCUCUUCUGACGCUGAGGUACGAAAGCUAGGGGAGCGAACGGG
rnacentral:rRNA from 1 species